UUCAACCAUUACAUGCGGAUUAUCUGCCGGAACGGGCUAUCUGAGCAUUUUAUUAUCCUAAAACGUAAAUAUAGAUCGCUGCGGACUAUCUACUGUAGCGGGUAAUACGCAGGAAAUUACGGUACCUGUCGUGUGGGGGAAGACAAAGCUGGAUGUAUCUUACUAACGAAAGACAUCAAAACAUGUACCGGAGUGUCUAGUGGUUUCUUUGUGUGGAGUUUGUUACAGGACGUUCUCACUCUAUGAAGGUGUAUUCGAGUCUGAUUCGACUCAUGGUGACGCUGGUUCUACGACGUCCACACUCACAACACACACUGGAUGUAAAUAUCAGACUGACAACGUCGACAGCAGCGCCAUCCUCUGUUAUUUCAGCUGGAUAACAUUUGGAGGGGAUCGGAGAAUCGAUUCUAUGGGAUUUUGUUUUCAAUACAUUUUUGGGGCCAUGUUUGUUGAGUGAAUGCUCGGAAACAUUGUUCCUGGCUUGACGAGCAAGGAGAUCGGUUAUGUUUUCUCUUUAGAUGUUCUGGUCAUAAGAGUUUAAUUGAAGCCAUCCUGCAAACCUGGGUGUAAUGUUAAUCCCUGAUAUACAUAUAUCCAAUACACUGCGAACACUAAGACAUGAAAACUCAAACCAAUAAAGGGAGCUAAAUUGUGUAUUAAUACAGGAGAGGAUAACUCAAAAAUAACAAGAACACGGGAGAUAAAUUGUGUACAUAACCUCAUAAUUUAUCCUCAUCCAUACCAUCACAUCCUACAUAAACUGCAGUCAGCUCAAAUUGCGUCAAUAUUUAAUCUAAAAUAUUUCUAAGCACAGCAUUGAUUCAAAAUUCAGUUUGUCAUCUUGGAGAAAGUUUUAUUUUAAGAAGGCAGUUGUAUUAAUGACUAUUCAUUUUUCAUCUUUUAUCUUGACAGUUCCAAAACCAUAUUCUCCUGUCGUAAAAGUAGGCUUUCAAAUUGAACCAUGUCAGUUUUUUACACAUUAGGUCCUAAAAUUCCAUUUUAUUUGAUUGUGUGACUUUUGGUAUGUUGGUCAAAACCAACUGUGUUAGUAUCUUUUAAACUAUUAUCUAAUUUAAACAUUAAUAAUAAUGACGUCAUCGUCUACCAUACCACACACAUCAUCGUUGCCAAUGACGACCACAGUAACCCGUAACAUCACAGACAAUCACCUGUACGAUCUCAACGAUGACAUCGCGAGAACUCUCAUCCCAGCCAUGGUCUACGUGGGCGUCACGAUGCUGUUCGGGGUGUUUGGCA